rnacentral:rRNA from 1 species
AUUGAACGCUGGCGGCAGGCCUUACACAUGCAAGUCGAGCGAGCGGCGGACGGGGGUGUAAUGUAUGGGGACUGCCCGAUAGAGGGGGAUAACUCCUGGAAACGGUAGCUAAUACCGCAUACGAUCGGAUACGCCAGAUUGGAUUAGCUAGUGGGUGAGGUAAUGGCUCACCAAGGCGACGAUCCCUAGCUGGUCUGAGAGGAUGAUCAGCCACACUGGGACUGAGACACGGCCCAGACUCCUACGGAGGCAGCAGUGGGGAAUAUUGCACAAUGGGCGCAAGCCUGAUGCAGCCAUGCCGCGUGUAUGAAGAAGGCCUUAGGGUUGUAAAGUACUUUCAGUAGGGAGGCGUUACCUGCAGAAGAAGCACCGGCUAACUCCGUGCCAGCAGCCGCGGUAAUAC